rnacentral:rRNA from 1 species
CCUGGUUGAUCCUGCCAGUACCAUAUGCUUGUCUAAAGGAUUAAGCCAUGCACGUGUAAGUAUAAGUGACUUUAUAUAGCGAAACUGCGGAUGGCUCAUUAUAACAGUUAUAGUUUCCUUGACGGUUUGAUUUUUGAUUCGCUGCCCUUGGGCAGGGGAUGGGAAAUUGGCGGAUAAUCGUGGGAAGUCUAGGAAUAAUACGUGACUAGAAAUCAAUGGGGGCCUUGGUUCCGAUUGAAGGGUUUGAUCAGAAUAUGCAAUUUUGUGUAUUUGGGAAAAAGAUCAAAAGUACUGGAUCGCAUAGAUUCCGGGGUUUACUCCGGAGGCGACAGAUCAUACAAGUUUCUGCCCUAUCAGCUUGAUGGUACGGUAUUGGCGUACGAUGGCGGUGACGGGUGACGGAGAAUCAGGGUUCGAUUCCGGAGAGGGGGCCUGAGAGAUGGCCACCACUUCUAAGGGAGGCAGCAGGCGCGAAAAUUACCCAAUCUCAACGCGAGGAGGUAGCGACAAUAAAUAACAAUGCGGGUCUCCUAGUGAGUCCGCAAUUGGAAUGAGAGCGGUUCAAACUCCCCAUCGAGAAGCAACUGGAGGGCAAGUCUGGUGCCAGCAGCCGCGGUAAUUCCAGCUCCAGUAGUGUAUUAUAAUGUUGUUGCAGUUAAAAAGCUCGUAGUCGGAAUGAAAGUUGCUAUUUUGAUUUCCAUUGUGGCAUAGUCUAUAGCAAUAUAGGGAUUCGCAAGGAUUUAAAAGUGCGAUGAUGAAAUCAGUUAUAUAGAUAGCAACAGUUGAUUAUCCAUAUGGUAAAGUUGUAUCAUUGAUUUGAUACGACCGCAAGAGGGGGCGCGUAGGGUUACGCGCGCCUGUACGAUAUGGAAGGUCACCUUGAGUAAAGUAGAGCGUUCAAAGCAGGUUUUUUUAGAACCAUUGUAUAAUUCAGCAUGGGAUGACGUAAUAUGUUUAUUGGCCCUGGCGCGCGAGCGCGGGAGCGAAUAAAAAUGAUUGAUAGGGAUGACUGGGGACAUUCGUAUUGAGAGGCUAGAGGUGAAAUUCAGUGAUUCUUUCAAGACGAACAUAAGCGAAAGCAUCUGUCAAGGGCGUUUUCGUUGAUCAAGAACGAAAGUUGGGGGAGCGAAGGUGAUUAGAUACCACCGUAGUCCCAACCGUAACGAUGCCGACCAGCGAUUGGUAGGAGUUUACAUUCAGGUUAUUUAUAAUCUGUAUAACUAUAUGACCUUCAUCAGCAGCUUGUGAGAAAUCAAAAGUGUUUGGGUUCUGGGGGGAGUAUGGUCGCAAGACUGGAACUUAAAGGAAUUGACGGAAGGGCACCACCAGGCGUGGAGCUUGCGGCUCAAUUUGACCCAACGCGGGGAAACUUACCAGGUUCGGAUGGAAGAAGGAUUGACAGGCUGAGAGACCUUUCUUGAUUUUUCAGGUGGUGGUGCAUGGCCGUUUUUAGUUGGUGGAUUGAUUUGUCAGGUUAAUUCCGAUAACGAACGAGAUCUUUAUAUUUUAGUUUUUUUCGCUAUGCUAGCGCGCGGACUUGUUCUGGGCGUUUUGAUAUA